rnacentral:misc_RNA from 1 species
GAAAUGCGAUAAGUAAUGUGAAUUGCAGAAUUCAGAGAAUCAUCGAAUCUUUGAACGCACCUUGCGCUCCUUGGUAUUCCGAGGAGCAUGCCUGUUUGAGUGUCAUGGAAUUCUCAACUCUAUUUGCUUUUGUGAAUAGAGCUUGGAUUUGGAGGUUUAUUGCUGGUACUUGUGAUCGGCUCCUCUUGAAUGCAUUAGCUCGAACCUUUGCGGAUCAGCUAUCGGUGUGAUAAUUGUCUACGCCGUUGCAGUGAAGCAUAUCAAUGGGCUCGGCUUCCAAUCGUCCUUUACUGGACAAUGACUUUGACCUUUGACCUCAAAUCAGGUAGGAUUACCCGCUGAACUUAAGC